AGUGACGUGUAUUUCACGCUGAUAGACAUUAUUUUGUUGUUUUCCAAAUUAUUAGAACAAAAAAACUAAUUGACCUCUUUGGGAAUUGAUAUGUUCUUUGUUUUAUACUUCAAAUAAGUUUAAAAAAAUAUGUAUUUUUUUCAGUCCUCUUUAUUAUGUUCUUAACCUUACAGGGCAUGUUGUACCAUGUGUGAUACAAGUAAAAAUAUUUUUUUAAAAAAACAAUCGUACCUUAUAUUUGAUACAUACGGAAGUAAAACUGCACGGUGUAUAAUUUGAGUUACAAUGCAAUCUGUUCAUUCUGUAGUUUCCUCAUCAUCAACAGAUAACAGCACUAGUAUCGUAGAGUGCUUAAAAAAUGUUUCGUGUUGAUCAUUUUAUCAGUAGCAAAAACUUUCUCAAUUCAAUGUUACUAUACUUUAUUCUUUUUAAUUCAUGGUAAAAAAAAUUAUCAAUUUAAAAAUAUAUUUAGUAGUCUAUUACAUUUGAUAUAUUUAGUAAUCACCUUAUAUAUUUUAUAAAAGUAAAGUUUUUUGUUUGUAUCAUAGGUGAUACAUCAUGAAUAUCUGCAUGGUUGUUAAUAUUUGGUCUUUUUCAUUGUUGAUAUUUACAAAAUAGUGUUAGUGUUUUUUAACACAAGUGAGAAGUGACCUAAAGUUAUUAACACAAUUUACUUUGAAUUUAUUUAUUAAUACAAUAUACUCUUUGUUAAAAAUAUGGUGAAAAUGACAGUAUUUCAAAGAACUUGAGUUUGUCUUUACCAUCAACAUCAUCUUCCAGCCCUGUGCUAGAAAAAUGUGCAUCUUCAAAUGCAAUUAUCCUAGCAGAAGGCAUACCUGGAACUUUAUCAACAGUGAGGUAAGCCGUGCUAUCCAAAUUGACCGUGAAGGCGGAGAAAUUUAGUGGAUCCGGUCGAGUCCCCACCUGCUAUCGAUGUCAACGAAUUGGUCACCCCUCAGUCUGCUGCUCCCGCCUACCAAUGUGUUUCUAGUGUGCUGGGGACCACAUGGGCCGUGACUGCACCAGCACCUCCAAAAAAUGUGUCAACUGUGAUGGUGCCCACUUCGCCACGUCUACUGACUGUCCCAACAUCCAGGCCUACCUCCGGCACCAUCUGCAAAACCAACCCACUGCCCCUCCAGCUCCACCUGCGCCUUGCCCUGUAGUGCCCGCCAUCUCUGACCCCUAUCCUUUCCACCCCUUCCUCCUUCCUCUGACACCCCCCAUGCUCACCACUCAGCACCGCCCCCUCCGCUCCUCCCCUCCACGAAUGACCAUGCUUCUCCCGACGAAUGAAGGCCCCACAGAGGGACUAGCCUCAUCACCCGGCGAACCACAGUUCAACCGAUCCCCCCUUACGAUUCACCAUACUCGCCUCAGCUUGGUGCGGUCAUCAUCUAGCCGCACGACACCAUUUCUUCAAGCAUCAACUCCACCGCCAUCACCCAACAAGAAGCUGGACACCAGGGACCUUAGCUGUUGGAGGUGUCCUGCCCAUCACCACAGCAACAUUUCUGUCACCCCUCAGCCCUUCCGGGCCAUGUAAACCUUUUGUUUUGCCUUUUAUUUGUUUUAUAUUAAAGAUGAUUUUUGGUGGUCCCUGAAAACAGGGGACCCAUAAUUUAAAACAUAAAAAAAACUUUGUUUAGAUAUUGUAGAGAAAUUUUUUUUGUUCCCUUCAGUUUAAUUUAGAGUUUAAACAAACUAAUUAGUCUACUAUUUAAAAAAUGUCUAUAGGUCUUUAACAUAUUACUAGGUUGUAGUUCAGAAGUAAAAAUAUAUGUGUAAGCUAUAUUUGUGUAUCAGUUAUAUCACAAACUCCAGUAGUAUUUAUUAUAAGGCAAGCUUUUUUUUUUUUUUUUCAGUAUUUAGAUUACCUUUGCCACUAAAAAAAUUUAUUUUUGGUUAAGUUUUAAUACAGAAUUGCUCAAGAACAACUUAAGUUUUGAAUUAACAUUUUAAAUAAUAGAUAAGCGAGACAAUAUGAGCCACAUAAUAAUGUAUAGUGAAUAUUUGGGUAGUUAUGUUAGCUGUACAUUAUUAAAAUUGUAUUCCCAACAAUUAUUUUUAAUUUGUUAUUUUAACUAUAAUUGUCAAAAACUUAUCACAUAUAUAACUGCCACAUAGCUGAGUUUAUAAAAUUUCAUAUCACUUUGCUUCCCCUUCUUUUACUGCACAGAAUGCUUAAUAGUUGGGUGCCGGAAAAAUUAGCAUCUUGCUAUAGAUGCUAAUUUAUGGCCAAUUUAUACUUUAAUGCUUUUUUUUAUUUUGCGCUAAUUUCUGACAUAGAUGCUAUUUUAGCUUAUUUUAAAAAUUAAGUUUUUUUUUUUUUUAGCUAAAUUAGUAUAAAAUGUCAAUUCAUUUGUAAAAAAAAAAUCCUCUAUAAAAUGCCAAAAACUGCUACAUUCUUAAAGACUGUUUUCAAAAUGGUGUUACCAAAUGUAUCGUAUCACAUUUAGAACUGACUCACUUUAUAUUCGUGCCUGGCAGUUGGUCUGGGACUCACACAUUUGCAUAAUUUAAUUUUACUACAAUAUGUUUGUCACUAUAGACUUAUUAGCAAAUCAGUUGAUACACAAAAAAAUUACUACCAUGUUUGUUGUAGAUUUCCUCUCAUUUCACAGACUUAACUCAAUCCAAUUGAUUUGUGAAUUGCUAUAAAUUAAACCUCCAAUUUUAUGUUUUUUUAGAAUAUUGUACUACCAAUUUUUUUAGUGAAUUUAACAUUUGAAAAUUUUGUGGUUUUAAUCCAAAAAUGCAUGACCAAUUUUUUUUACAUAACUAUAAUACUGUUACUUAGUUUUCAAAGUGUAGAAUGCUAAUUUUGGGGAAAAUAGAUGCUAAUUUUUACAGCCCCUAUUAAUAGCCUUAUUUAGUACACCAAAAAUUUUAUUGCAUCAAUUUCAAAUUGAAUAAUUUUAACAAAAUAAUGGAUUUGUUGAAAUAGCAAAUGUAAAUAAUCGUAGGUUAUUAUUUACAACCGCUGAUUUCAAUAUUUCCAUGUCAACAAUCUGAACAAUGUACAUAAGAUUUAAAAAAAUCAUCAUCAGUAAUUAGCACAAAGACAAAUACUGAAACAAAUCACAAAUAUGAUUUUGUGUGGUACAGUUUAGGUAGCCAUUCAACUUUGUUGAGUCCACUGUACUAAAACAAAUAUUAUCCCAGAUAUUAUUUAAUAAUUUUUAUAUCCUGCAUUUAUUACUUUUGGCAUUGUAAACAGUAUUUUUCAUUGAAAUUUAGGCCAUAUCUAUGAAUCACAGAACUCUAUGACUAUUGUUGUUCGAAUGUCAAUGCAAUUCACAGACUCCUCUUAGUACUAUUGGUCAUGACUACAGACAAGAUUUUAUGGUUUUAUUUACAGGCCAUUUUCAUUUUUAAAACACGAGAUUUCGGUGUUAUUUUUAUUUUUUAUGAAAUCUGUUUAUUAAAAAAGAUAGCAUAUUACUGAACAAAUAUGAUACUUUAAUAUUCCAUUUUACUAAUUUCUCCAAAACAGUAUUAUUUUGACUGAUACAUGAUGCACUGUUUUCAUAUAAUGAUUUGUAAUAAGUAUGACUAACUUUUCAGAACAAAAAUAAAAUCAAGUAUUUCUGUGUUUGAAAAAUGUUCUAAGGUCAUAAUGUAAAAAUAAGUAGCUAUAACAGCUGCAAGAUUAAAAAUAGGAAACUUUCACCAAUUUUUUUAACUAAGUGGUGGUACAAACAUCAUGUUAAAUAAAUUACUUUCAUUGAAUUUAAUAUUUAAAAAUUUAGAUAUUCGUCUUUAGAGUUACGUUUUGAUUGAAAAUGCUGAUUUGUUUCAUAAUUUUAGUUGCAUUCCAGUGCUUUGUGGUGCAUUAACUGGAAUUUCGGUGUUAUAUGUAUGUAUUGUAAUUCUUUUUGGUGUUACAUCAGUUUUAUCGCUAUUCACAAUGUAAUAUUGUCCCUAGUCACAGCAUUUGAAAACUAAAAUGGCUUUAUUUUAUGAAAUACCUAUAACACUUUCACUAUGUUUUUAUUUUAAAUCAGUGUCAUUUUACACUAAAUUAAUCCUUGUUGACAGUUCGUAUUGUUACACCUAUCCCUCACUUAACACGUCUUCAGAUUGCGCGGAUUCAUUUAGCGCGAUGUGAAUUUUACUGCCCCAGUCUCAAAUAGCACGUCUGUUAAUUUCAGUUAGCACGAAAUCUCGGCAGGCAAAAAGAAAGUCGAGCACGACGCCACAAAGUCUGUUUCAACUUAUGUAAACAACAGAUGUGCCCAGAGAUACAGUCAGCAAAACAAGGAGGGAAGAGAUGCACGCGCAGGUCUGUCUACGCUAUCGGCUGUUGUACAAACAUCAGGUAUGGCAAGUUAAAUUGUGGCCAUGGAGUGUAAAGGACCAAAUGUUUUUACGACAGCGCGUAUGCCGCCGUGCCGUACUGUUGUCGCCUGGCCACAAACCGGGCCGUGAACUCAGUCUAGCCAGUGGCAGGGAAUUCACUCAAACAAAAGCAACGUCUGCCCAUUCAGCUGCCGUUAACUGUACGUUCUUGAUCACACAUAAUGCAUUGUGUUCACGUAUUUGAGACAAAACUAGAAGUAUUACGUUGCGCAGAUUGUCAUGAAGGCCAUGCUUAUGUUGGUCGCACUCUAGUUUUAAGCAAGUCAACUGCGCACAAUCGUACAAAAUAAGGACUCCUAUCAAAAGUUUAUAUAAGUCUGAUACUGUUGGUUGUACUAGAGGGAAUAUUUUGACAUUAGAUACCGGAACAGAAAUCAACAGAUGAUUCAUAUGGAUAAGGUUGUUAAAUGCAUGUUGCAAUCAAAAAAAUAAUCACUGGCCUGACAGGAUUGGUGUGAACCAGGUGGUGAUAAGCGAAUAAGUACUUCAAUUUUUGAAAAAUUAAAAUGUAAUCAUCUGGACUGUAAUAUGUAUCGGUAUCACUGUCAGUAAAGGAUUGUUUGGAAAGGUACGCAAUGUGAGUUGAAGGUCACUCCCGGGCAGGCAAGUCAGCCCGCUGACUGACGAUAAAGUACAUACAUAACCAGGUAUCUCCCGUUACGCUGUGUCGUAUUUGUCAUACAAAGUGCAAUGGCAUAUAAAGAUUAAUGGUGUGACAUAUUUAUAGUCGAGUGUUAUUCAGCACAUUAAUAUUACGUAAAAUAUAUUUUCAUACACAAUUUUGGAACACAAUAAAUAAAUUAGCCUUGCUAUUUAUGUAAACUAAUGCUUCAGAAUACGUGAUUUUGAAUAACAUGAGCAAUUUUAGGAACAAAUUAGUCAUGCUAAGUGAGGGAUAGGUGUAUUGAUACUGAAAAAUGUUUAAAUUCACUGUAUUCCAGCCAAUCAGGAACCAGCAUUUAUUAAUUUAAGAACAUUUUAAAUGAAUUAAAAAAGAAUUAAAUAGCAUCUAAAAAUGGUUGAAGAAGUCUGUGUAACAUGGUGUUAAAUCCGCUACACAUCAAGUGUAAAUAAGUAAUUAGACCAUUUACUACAAUACUGCAGUGAUUUAAGUACGGUCUUAAGUGUUUUUAUAUAUAAGACAGUGUUAUUACCAGCAAUAUAUCAAAGUGAACGGCAUAUUAAUUGAGUAAAUUGGUCUGCAAUUUUUUCCUCACGCACAACAAUAUUUGAAUAAACAGUAUUGGUUGUUAUAUGUGUAUCACGAGAGCAUAAAACACUCAUAAAACAUGAUUUAAGCAAUUUAAUGUAACCAACACAUACUGUCACGAGUGAAAACAAUGAAUUUUUGAGUUGAACACUAUUUGUAAUUUUCUGGUUCUCACUCACUCAGUGGUCCUUUUUGAAGGUUUCUUGUGACUCCCUCUGAGCCUAAGCUAUCCGAAGCGAACCCCAUUAUUAAAUCGUCAGCAAAACAUUACCAGUGUUGUAUUAUUUUGAAGUCUUAUGAAACCGUAAAUGUGAAAUGAAUGUUUGAUUCUUUUAAUGUGUCCGACAUAUAUCUGGAAUUUUAACUAUGAAAACAGUCUUUCAGCCAUAAAGUUACUUAUUGUUUAUGUUUCAUGUAUGAACAUUAUGUUGUAAAUUUAUGAUUUUUGAAGAAAAUAGCACAAACGAAUUAAGAGACAAACUAAGCUAUACCUUAGUACAAUAAAUUAUACUGAAGUUCAGUACUACACUAACUGUGGAAUUUAUUGCAUGUUCAAUUUAAAAUCAACAUAUAAAAUAGUUUCAUGAUAUUGAUGUUGAUCAGAUUUAUUUUUAUACUAUAUAUUGUUUUUCCUGUAUGAAUUACAGUACUUUGGGCUACCAUAAUGCACACAAUUCUUCUGAGCCGUGCGGUAUUGUUUAUACUUUGUUUAAUCAUAGCCUCCAGUCAAUAAUAAUUAAAUUAUAUGAGGUAGUAUUAACAGUACAGACAUGUAUGUAAAAAAAUAUAUAUAUAGUCACGGUAUAACACAAA